UCAAAGAAGAACUGCGAUUUUUACUUGACUUUUACUUUUAGGGCAGCAAUAAGUGCAGUACUCCAGAGAUGGAACAAUAACUCAAAGGGUGGAUUUAUUAAUCUUUAUUAAAUAAAACACAGCUGAGAUGGAGCUACACAACUUAAAACCUGGAAUCAGAAGAGGAGGGAAGCACACUGCCUAGUGGGGAGGACAUGAGGAACAUAUAGACUCCCGGUAAUUAGGGAGAUGGGAAACACCAGGAAACACAGCUGCAACAAAUCAGGAUUAAUGAGACAGGAGAAGUAUAACUCAACACAACGCACACAAGCCUGUCAUAAGAUGGAAGCAACGACCAACAAAAGGGGAAAGCAGACCUGUGCAGUCUUCCUUUAUACCAUUUCAUCUUAUUUACAUCGUGAAGCACUUUGUGACUUGUUCUUGAAAAGUGCUGAAUUCAUUAACUUUAGUUACUUAACAUGUUUAAUUACUUACAAAGAAAGUACCACUGAGGACACAGGGAUGGAAUAUUCUGAUUCUGGGCUGAUUUAACAUUGAAAUUUUAUUUGCAAACAUAAUUAAUCUUGUGAAAUACUGAAGUUCAGUGACUCACGAACUUCAGAAAUGCCAUAACUUUUUUUUUAAUAGACUUUAUCGAAAGUGCUGAAAAGUUGAAUUAGGUUUAAGGGGCCAGAAUGUGUGUGAUGUGUGAGCGAGAGUUCUCACACGUAUACAAACACCAACUUGUGUGUGUGUGUGUGUGUGUGUACUUGUGUCCCAAAUCUAAUAAACUGACCGUAGCAUCGUUACGCAUCAUUACUUCUCCACUAACAGUGGAUGGCUGAGCAAACACGGAACAUUUUUCAUGCUAAAAUCAUGUCGUAAACUCUGGGGGAGUUAUUUUAUUCAGUGUGUGUGUGUGUGUGUGAGGGCGUGAAUGCGAUGGUUGUUGCCUCUUUGCAAAGCGGGUUUCUUUGCAGUCUAAUUUCAUGAUGGUGGAAAGAGUGACGAGGCGUCUGCAAUAACACCAUUAUCCAGUCUGAAAUAACAGGAGCUGCUGUUACACCUGAGUGAAAAUGAAAAAGGCCUGGACAUCAAGCCGAACCCUCCUCCUGACCCAUGAUGCACUGGUGUUGAUCUGGUGGAUGUUGCGAGAGUGGAUAUCCAGGAGGAGGUGGCUGUGGUGACAGGCUGCUGCAUGAAGUCCAUGGGAAUCUAAUUAUAGUUGUAUUAUAUAUGAAGCCAUUUUUAAGUAUUGCAGAGAAAAUCCACAAAUUUUCACACUCUGACUGAAAUAUUGGGAGGCAGAUAACAAUUUAAUCACCAAUACUUUUAUAAAUAAUGUUGAUUUUAAUAUUUUUCACAUUUGUAAUAUGUGAGAAAUUAAUACUGUUGCUACAAAAUGAAGUAUUAUGCUGUUGCGAUGUUUCUAUGGGAAGUUUUAAAUAAAGUUUUGUUAAAUUCUGAAGGAAACGGGAUGAAAACACUGACUGCAGAAAGAAAAAUCCUCCUCCGAGAGCUUUUUAAGACUCCCUGUCCGUAUCUUUGGCUGCACUCGCCCCAGUUUUCUUCCUGGCACAGCAGGGACUCGAUCACUUCCUGUUAUUAAGUCUGGCUGAGGGUCGGAGGUGAAGGGUGAGAGGUGGAGGACAGACGUAGUGUUGACAGGGAGGAGGGGAGGAAGAGCGAAAAAGAGGCUCUGCCUUAUGUGUGUGAGACGGAGGCAGUGAUAGCAGGAAUUACAGAGGAAUGACUGGAAUUUCCUGAGCUGGUGAUGAAAGCUCGCUGAUUCAGAAUGAGUGUUACAGGAUUUCAUAUCUGGCCUGUCUGAUUAUCUGAUCACUUUGCACAUAAUGAGCAUCUAAAUCAUUUACAUGAGCAAAACUAAACCUCUGAAAAUAGAAUCCACGUGUUGUGUAAUGACAGUUUUGUGCACUCUGGAGUCACCGGGAGUUGUGAAAUCUGGAUUUGGGACCACUACAGCCUUCUUCUGGCAGGACUUCUGCACAGCAGCCAUAUUAUUGGUCAGAUAACAUAUUGGAGCGCCUUGAGGUGACUGUGAAUAAUUGCAGUAAAAAUGCUCCAAAAGGCUUCAGCAGCACAAACACGGUCCCGAUGUCCAGUUCUGCUGAAGCUAGCAGACAGCUAGCAGCUACAGCCGCCUGUGUCACCAUCCAACUGUCAGUCAAAGAGACCACGCCCCUAACAAUGCAAACUUUAAGCCUUAAAACCAUUUAAACAGGUGAGUUAUAAAAACAUUUUCACCCCUUACAGUUUUUUGAAGGACAAACUUGUCUAUAGAGACAAUAACAGUGUUUGUAUCAGGCUGGAAACAUGCUAAUCUUUGCUGUAAGUUUUAACAUUUUAACAUGGAACUCUGAGGACUGACUCACUGCAAGAGCCUCAAGUGGAUAUUGGAGGAACUGCAGCUUUUGGGUGUAUUUUUAAGCUGUGGAGGUUGGAGCUUCGCUGCCCUGAUGGUUGCAGACGUCUCUUUGCUCAGAAUAUCUGGUGGAACCAAAAGGAUUAGCUGGAGCAGU